CAACCGCUGCCUUCCUAUGGCCCGCCUAUUCUACUCCACCCCACCCCCGCCCAUCACCACCGCCGCUACGGGAGUACGGGACGUGGGUCUGCUGUGCUGGAGGUUGUUCUACAGUCACUGUUCACAGGAUUGAAGACGAGGUUUGGGUAGAGCCAGGUCUGGGAACUGCUGUGCUCUGUAAAUACAGGACUGAAGAAGAUGUGACAAGCUCAGAUAUCACCAUAGCUAAGGUAUCAAAGUGAAGACCAUAGAUGCUGUGAAUCUAUAUAAAACCCAGAAUAUUAAGCUGCAACAUGGGGGCAGUGGAAAAUACUUGGAAAUUUCAGUUCAAUCAUGAGAUGAAAGGUAUAUAAGUACACUGAAAACUCAAAGUGCUUUCUUAGUUUAUUUCACAAUAAAGGAUGCAUUUACUGUUU